GAUGAACGCUGGCGGCGUGCCUAAUACAUGCAAGUCGAGCGAACAGACGAGGAGCUUGCUCCUCUGAUGUUAGCGGCGGACGGGUGAGUAACACGUGGAUAACCUACCUAUAAGACUGGGAUAACUUCGGGAAACCGGAGCUAAUACCGGAUAACAUGUUGAACCGCAUGGUUCAACAGUGAAAGACGGUUUUGCUGUCACUUAUAGAUGGAUCCGCGCCGCAUUAGCUAGUUGGUAAGGUAACGGCUUACCAAGGCAACGAUGCGUAGCCGACCUGAGAGGGUGAUCGGCCACACUGGAACUGAGACACGGUCCAGACUCCUACGGGAGGCAGCAGUAGGGAAUCUUCCGCAAUGGGCGAAAGCCUGACGGAGCAACGCCGCGUGAGUGAAGAAGGUCUUCGGAUCGUAAAACUCUGUUAUUAGGGAAGAACAAAUGUGUAAGUAACUAUGCACGUCUGGACGGUACCUAAUCAGAAAGCCACGGCUAACUACGU
rnacentral:rRNA from 1 species